GGGCCGGCGAGAUCCGAGGCGCCGGAGUCUGGAGAACGGCCUCUCUCUCUCCCCGGUGGUUGCGGGUCGGGACGGCCGGGAGGGUCUCGGCGGGAGCGCGGCGGUUUGCUGCUCGUUUUUGCGGCUCCUCCAACCGCGACGAGCUGGUGUUGCGCCCGUUCCCGCCCGGGAGCUGGACUGUGUGGCGGGCCGCCCUUAGAGCUCCAAGCCCAGAGUAGCAGACGCGGUCUUGUUUAUCUGGACGCUGCAGUUCUGGUGUCUGAAUCCCAGAUCUGGGGCCUGACUCCCGAGAGAGACUGAGGGUGCCAAGAUGAGUUUCCAGUGCUAGCAUUGCAGCUGUAUUUUGCUAAAAGCAGUAAGAAUUGAGGACUUCCCGUGAACAUCUAGUAUGCAAAUGAAUGAAGAGCAGUAUUUGUGGUCCGGAGCCAGCUGCCACAUUGUGAGAGGUACACUACAGAAAAGUCCACAUGGCAAGGAACUGCCAUGUUCCCUAGAGGGAUGCCUCUAGGCAACGGUCUGCAAAGAACUGAGGCCUUCAGUGCAAUAGCCCACAAGAAGCUAACUCCUGCUGACAACCAGGCUGUUAGAAUUCACAUUUCAAAAAAAGAAAAAAAAAAAAGGAACUCACAUUUUCACCAGCAAUGUGAUUUAAAAGUCACAAUUUCUACACCUUUGAAGGAAGAAGGGGACUCUUAAAUUUCCCAUUUCCCAGCCCCAAACACCUAAAAUUUAAGAAAAUGAAAUUUUUGAAGCAUUGAAUACUUUUCACCAGAACUAGUUACAUGGCUGAUUGAAGACCAUCAACAUGCAACUUCUGAAAACUGAAGAUGAUGCCUGUUUCAGGUUUUUCCACCUUUCAGAGAUGACUUUAUUUCUUGAUCCAGCAGCUCUGGGAUCAUGCAAACACCAGUGAAGACGGACGACUCCAAAGAAGGAAUAAGGAGUAAGAGGUGCCAAAGGCUGUGCUAAACCAAGACCUUGUCAGGGUACCACAGGGGUGUGUCAGGACGGGCAGGGCACAGGCUCUGCUCAACUCAUUCUGCUCUACUCUGCUCCACACCUUGUAUAUGCUUUAAAAGAGCUUUUCUAGCACCGGGGCCCAAGGGUACUGCUUAGUGAGUAACCCUAUCAAAUGCCCAGGCGGUGUGAGCCAUUAGCACCGUUUGCCUCUGCUUUCCAGUGAGUAACCAGAGAUGUGACAGCAUGAAUUAGAAGGCAACCAAAUCUCAGUUCUCUUCUCUUUUUCUGUUGAAAAGCCCUAUGAACAAGGUCCUUGUCUGCAACAUCGUAGGGAUUAUUCUCAAACUGUCACGUAAUUUCAAAAAUUAAUCACCUUAAAUUAUAUUUCAUUUUUAUCUCAUUUUCAAGAAUCAUCUAACUUUCCUAUCCUUUCAUCUAACACCUCAUAAACUUCUGAGUCCCCAUUUUCUAGGUAAAAUGAGCUUCCUGAGUUUCUCUAGGUGCCCAUCUCAGUGACUUACAAGUCCAGUCAGUUUGCGGAGACCACGUUUGAAGACUUCUUUGAUUCCCUGGUAUAGUGCAUGAACAAGAGAUGAUACUACCACAAAUAUUCCCGAAGAAAACUCUAAAUUAGAGAAGGGCAAUCCCCACACUGCAUAAGCCAUUUUGUUUUUCCAGAAGAUACCAUGAUAGAAUGUUGAACAGAACAAGCCCAGACAUGAAAUGAUGGAUCCAAAAUUAAUGGGAGUUAUCUGAACAUGGUUGAGUUUGAAA